GACGAACGCUGGCGGCGUGCUUAACACAUGCAAGUCGAGCGGUAAGGCCCUUUCGGGGGUACACGAGCGGCGAACGUGUGAGUAACACGUGGGUGACCUGCCCUCAGCUCUGGGAUAAGCCUGGGAAACUGGGUCUAAUACCGGAUAUGACUCCAUGACGCAUGUUGUGGGGUGGAAAGCCUUGUGCGGCUGAGGAUGGGCCCGCGGCCUAUCAGCUUGUUGGUGGGGGAUGGCCUACCAAGGCGACGACGGGUAGCCGGCCUGAGAGGGCGACCGGCCACACUGGGACUGAGACACGGCCCAGACUCCUACGGGAGGCAGCAGUGGGGAAUCUUGCGCAAUGGGCGAAAGCCUGACGCAGCGACGCCGCGUGAGGGAUGACGGCCU
rnacentral:rRNA from 1 species